rnacentral:rRNA from 1 species
GGAAGCACCGGCUAACUCCGUGCCAGCAGCCGCGGUAAUACGGGGGGUGCAAGCGUUGUUCGGAAUUAUUGGGCGUAAAGCGCGUGUAGGCGGUCUGAUUAGUCUGAUGUGAAAGCCCUGGGCUCAACCCAGGAAGUGCAUUGGAUACUGUCAGACUUGAAUACGGGAGAGGGUAGUGGAAUUCCUAGUGUAGGAGUGAAAUCCGUAGAUAUUAGGAGGAACACCGGUGGCGAAGGCGGCUACCUGGACCGAUAUUGACGCUGAGACGCGAAAGCGUGGGUAGCAAACAGGAUUAGAUACCCUGGUAGUCCACGCCGUAAACGAUGAGAMCUAGGUGUMACGGGACCSKGACC